GAGGUUGUGGCUCAGUGGUAGAGCACUUGCCUAGCAUGUGUAAGACACUGGGUUUGAUUCUCAGCACCCUAU
rfam:Ictidomys tridecemlineatus contig062529, whole genome shotgun sequence.